rnacentral:lncRNA from 1 species
UGAUUGACAAUAUGGUUACAAGAAGGAUGAAGUGAAAUAAGAUCUAGUAGGUACUCCCUUCCUCUUCUCUAUCCACCUUUCCUUUCUCUGCUCUUCUCCUUCCCUUCCUUUUAUCUGCAGUUGUCACUGGGAAUUAGACUGAUUAAGAAAGAAGGAGGAAUGGAGUAAAGUCAUCAGGAUUAAUAGAUCAAGAUAAGGUAUUGGGGAAAUAGAUUUAAAAAAGAGGAGGUAGAGAUAAAGGGAGAAAGGAAGGAAAGGGAUAUGACAAUAAAACAAAAGGAUGAAAGAGGUGGCUUAAAUAACUCAGAGGAAGAAAAAGAAUAGAAAGAUCGGCAGAAAACGCUAGAAUGAGAAAAAAAAGAAAAGGAGAGGAUUAAAACUGUAACACCUACCCAUGUUUCAUACUGUGCUAUUUUUACUUCUGGAGGGAAAGAUGAAAAAGCCACACUCACCUGGACAGGCCGAAAUCAGAUACUUUAACAACUCCUUGAUCGUUUACCAAACAGUUUCGAGCUGCCUGUAGUGCAAACAGAGACCAGUGAGACUCCGUCCCCAGCACAGAGGUUAAAGGCACAAAGCUUCUGCUGACCAGUAGAAUGAAGCCAGGGAAGCUUCAUCUCCUUCGACUACAGACACCUUCCCACCUAAUAGGAAUCUGUUGAUGCCACCAAGAAAUUUUGAUUCAUUUCCACCACGUGGAAAGCAACCUGCUGUGUAGUCCUAGGUAAAGCACUGAGGACAUACAGAACGAUUGCAUUCUCAUGGGCAAUUCCACACCACCCCAUUCCCUCACUGAUAUGCUGAAAGAAUUAAGGGAGAGGCUGGGUGCAGUGGCUCACGCCUGUAAUCCCAACACUUUGGGAGGCCGAGGUGGGUGGAUCACCUGAGGUCAAGAGUUCAAGACCAGCCUGGCCAACAUGGCGAUACCCCAUCUACUAAAAAUACAAAAAUUAGCUGGGCGUGGUGUUGGGCGCCUGUGAUCCCAGCUACUUGGGAGGCUGAGGCAGGAGAAUUGCUUGAAUCUGGGAGGCGGAGUUUGCAGUGAGCCGAGAUGGUGCCAUUGCACUCUAGCCUGGGCAACAGAGCGAGACUCCAUCUCAAAACAAAACAAAACAAAACAAAACAAACAAAAAACAAAGAAGGGAGAAUGAGAAGUAAGUUUUUUUGCUUUCUGCUUUUCUGCCAGUGAGACUAGGACAAUUUGAGCCUUGGCCUGACUGAAAGAAACAGGGGCGCAAACUCUGAUGCUUACAGGGGCCAGGCAAGUUAAGUAAGAGUGAAGUGAAGUGGAUCGAGAUUGCAGGAAAUGGAGAGUACAUGCCUAGAGGAAAGGAGGCGGUUCGUGAGAAUGUGGACCUGGUAUUUCCAGACGGUGUAGAUUUUCAAGAGAAGCUGGAAAUUCCAGGGUUUUUUUUUUUUUAAGCGAAAUGUUUCUUUUUAAGGGUUUGCUAAU